rnacentral:rRNA from 1 species
GAUGAACGCUGGCGGCGUGCCUAAUACAUGCAAGUCGAGCGAACAGACGAGGAGCUUGCUCCUCUGACGUUAGCGGCGGACGGGUGAGUAACACGUGGAUAGCCUACCUAUAAGACUGGGAUAACUUCGGGAAACCGGAGCUAAUACCGGAUAAUAUAUUGAACCGCAUGGUUCAAUAGUGAAAGACGGUUUUGCUGUCACUUAUAGAUGGAUCCGCGCCGCAUUAGCUAGUUGGUAAGGUAACGGCUUACCAAGGCAACGAUGCGUAGCCGACCUGAGAGGGUGAUCGGCCACACUGGAACUGAGACACGGUCCAGACUCCUACGGGAGGCAGCAGUAGGGAAUCUUCCGCAAUGGGCGAAAGCCUGACGGAGCAACGCCGCGUGAGUAAUGAAGGUCUUCGGAUCGUAAAACUCUGUUAUUAGGGAAGAACAAAUGUGUAAGUAACUAUGCACGUCUUGACGGUACCUAAUCAGAAAGCCACGGCUAACUACGUG